AAUCCAUAGGUUAAUGAGGCGAACCGGGGGAACUGAAACAUCUAAGUACCCCGAGGAAAAGAAAUCAACCGAGAUUCCCCCAGUAGCGGCGAGCGAACGGGGAGGAGCCCAGAGCCUGAAUCAGCAUGUGUGUUAGUGGAAGCGUCUGGAAAGGCGCGCGAUACAGGGUGACAGCCCCGUACACAAAAGCGCAUGUGCUGUGAGCUCGAUGAGUAGGGCGGGACACGUGGUAUCCUGUCUGAAUAUGGGGGGACCAUCCUCCAAGGCUAAAUACUCCUGACUGACCGAUAGUGAACCAGUACCGUGAGGGAAAGGCGAAAAGAACCCCGGCGAGGGGAGUGAAAAAGAACCUGAAACCGUGUACGUACAAGCAGUGGGAGCCCCACCACUAAGCCAGUGGUGAACUCCACAUACGCAUCCUUUGCUGAGGAUACGGUUAACGGAGCGAAAGCGACGUUCAACCGCAAAAGAAGCAGAGGGGGCUUAGUGGUGGGGUGACUGCGUACCUUUUGUAUAAUGGGUCAGCGACUUAUAUUCUGUAGCAAGGUU
rnacentral:rRNA from 1 species